rnacentral:rRNA from 1 species
UACGAAGGGUGCAAGCGUUAAUCGGAAUUACUGGGCGUAAAGCGCGCGUAGGUGGUUCAGCAAGUUGGAUGUGAAAUCCCCGGGCUCAACCUGGGAACUGCAUCCAAAACUACUGAGCUAGAGUACGGUAGAGGGUGGUGGAAUUUCCUGUGUAGCGGUGAAAUGCGUAGAUAUAGGAAGGAACACCAGUGGCGAAGGCGACCACCUGGACUGAUACUGACACUGAGGUGCGAAAGCGUGGGGAGCAAAC